rnacentral:misc_RNA from 1 species
CAGGGAGACAACAAAAUGAUUAAUAUUAUUAUUUUGUCACCUUAGGUCGAUCGGUAUCUCAUGUUCUUAAUUUAUUAAGAAUUUCNUUUCCUAAGUUUUUCUAGGACACACCCAUUAUUUUCCUGGGCCAUUAACUCAGGUGGGUAAAGCGCCCCCCUGAUAAGGGUGAGGUCCCUGUUUCAAGUCCAGGAUGGCCCAUAUCUCUAUGUUGGGGGUAUAGCUCACUUGGGAGAGCGCCUGCUUUGCAAGCUAGAUGUCACCGGUUCGAGUCCGCUUACCUCCACUGAUUACCACCUCUUCCAUAAUCUGUANAAAGGAAAUGUUUUGANNCUUGAUCUAAUUCUGAACGAAUCUACUUUCCUAACGAAAUCAUUAAGAUGCUGGACUCAUUGNAUUAUUUUCUUGUAUUCAAAGAACCUUGACAACUGCAUANAUUAUUUUUAAAGACAAUAAUAAUCUUUAACUAUGCGCAUUUAUUAUUUAUGCGAAUGCAUUAAUAACAAUUCUAUUAAGNNGAUGCUUCAAUUUUGAAGNUAUU